CCGCGCGCAUCUGGAAACUACGCCCCGCCAUGGAGCCCUCUUUUCGCGCCUGUCAUCGCGCACGCCCAAAUCCAAUCCCCCCAGAUCUCCUUAUCCUUUCCUUCUGCGCCGCCCAAUCCCUCUGCUUUUGAGGCCUCCGACCACCAUCCCUCCAUGGCUCCCCGCCUUCCAAGGUCACACGAGCGCCUCAACCUGCACUCUAUGAUGUGGAUCUGUACCCGCCGGCCACCACCAUCCAUGGCUCCUCCGCUACUGGGACACGGCGUCGUCCCAUCUCCGUUCUGGAUAUCACCAUGCGACACCAACGCUUGUCCUCCUCCUGCACCAUGGCCCUGCUCAGACCACGCCGCCAUCGAUGCCACCGUUGAGAAUCCACCCCAACUCGAGCAGUUCACCGGCGUCAUGGAGGAAGCGCUAAGCAGCUGCAUUGCAAAUAUGAGGAACAUCAUCCGUGCAAGAAGUUCAGAUUCACUCGACGGCAAGAAAUAGUGUCAUAUUUUUCUUCCAAAUAGUAUGUACCAUUCCCCACAUUGAUACUUAUGAUCACCCAUUUGAUAUCUCCUUUUCCUAGUUACAGUUCAUCCAGGUCAGGAGUAGGAUUUAAGGUUCAUGAUCCAACUAUAAGAGACGUGUAAAAUCCUUUGCCCUUGACAUGUGCAAGCACACAAUUGGAUGUUCCUGCUAGAGAAGGUGCGCAAUCUUGCUGAGUGUAAUUUUACAUUGCUGGAACUAGAUGAUUGUAGCUCUUAGUUGUAGAAGGUGGAUGCAAGUGUCUGGGUGCGAUGACCCAUAGAUAUUGCAUUGCUCUGAAAAUUAUCAGUACAUUGCAUAGAUGAAUGGAUGUCACUCCUUACAUUAUUGUUUUGAACUUCUGUACUAACUUACUGACGCAUCAAGUAACAACUAUCCUCUGUUUGUGGUCACCCCUUUGCCUAGUAACUUAUUUCCUUAUGAUUUUUUGAUUGUCUUACUAUCCAGUACAGUAACAAUUUGCUCCCUAACUUGUUUGUCCAUACCUUAUCAUUUUAGUCUCUUUCAUUAUGUUAGGUUUUUGGGAAGAAUUAAACGAACAUCAUCAGUGCAACAUAGAGGCUGAAGCAGGUGGUUGAGGUAUCACUCAAUUUCAAGAAAUUGAAUAAGAUUCUUCCAAGUGAAACGGCACUAUUCCCUUUCAUAUUUUGUUCUAUGCACAUGAACCUAGAAAUUAAAUAUUGAUCAACACCUGAUGGAGGACUUGUUUUUCUAGUUCGCAAUUCAUUCUUAUUAGGAACAAAAUUCAAGAUCACGUAUCUGUGAGAUAUGCAAGAGCCUCUAAUCAAGGGUAACCUUGAAGGGAAGAUUGCAACUUAAGCUGCAACUAAAGAUUAUAGAAAAUGAGGUCUCUCUUGUGUAUAUUUAGUUGAUGCACUUGUGUGUUUUUAGAUGUUGCACCUCUGUUUCCAUUGACCUUCGAUUCAUGUACGUAAAUUCUAUGGAACUGUAUCCGAAGACAUGUGAAUUUGUAUCUCUGGUUGAUGGAAACAAUUGAUAGUGAUGUUUCUAUGUUAUAAAUAUUCUGAGUUAUGGAAUAGUUAUGUAUAAAACC